rnacentral:rRNA from 1 species
CACGUAGGGCGCAAGCGUUGUCCGGAAUUAUUGGGCGUAAAGAGCUCGUAGGCGGUCUGUCGCGUCGGCUGUGAAAACCCGAGGCUCAACCUCGGGCCUGCAGUCGAUACGGGCAGACUAGAGUGUGGUAGGGGAGACUGGAAUUCCUGGUGUAGCGGUGAAAUGCGCAGAUAUCAGGAGGAACACCGGUGGCGAAGGCGGGUCUCUGGGCCAGU